rnacentral:rRNA from 1 species
GAUGAACGCUGGCGGCGUGCUUAACACAUGCAAGUCGAACGGUGAAGCCAAGCUUGCUUGGUGGAUCAGUGGCGAACGGGUGAGUAACACGUGAGCAACCUGCCCUGAACUCUGGGAUAAGCGCUGGAAACGGCGUCUAAUACUGGAUACGAGACGUGGCCGCAUGGUCAACGUUUGGAAAGAUUUUUUGGUUCAGGAUGGGCUCGCGGCCUAUCAGCUUGUUGGUGAGGUAAUGGCUCACCAAGGCGUCGACGGGUAGCCGGCCUGAGAGGGUGACCGGCCACACUGGGACUGAGACACGGCCCAGACUCCUACGGGAGGCAGCAGUGGGGAAUAUUGCACAAUGGGCGAAAGCCUGAUGCAGCAACGCCGCGUGAGGGAUGACGGCCUUCGGGUUGUAAACCUCUUUUAGCAAGGAAGAAGCGAAAGUGACGGUACUUGCAGAAAAAGCACCGGCUAACUACGUGCCAGCAGCCGCCGUAAAAC